AUGAAUCCUAGAGAAACAAACAGCUUCUAUAUCAAUAUUUCAAGGAUCUCGUUUAUUGGGUUUGAUGCAGUUAGGACAGACUCACUUUUGCAGACAAGAAUUCACUGUGAUAGAACAACAUUACUAUUUCUGUGGAGAUUUAAGGCUGACUGGCAUCUGACUUGAAGCAGUGCAUGCGAUUUCGAAAUUAAUUUACAAAUCGAGAUGGAACCAACGCCAAAUCACUGUGAUGUAUGCCAACAAUGUACGGUCACAGCGGCUGCACGAUUGGCUGAAUCCACUGAUGACUGAUGACUUUCAUUCACUGCGUGCCAUUGUAUAUACAGCAAGUCUAUUCCUCACAGCCUCAUUUGUAUCACUGUUACAUUCAAUAAGGCAACUAACCUGACUUAGGUCUAUUGGCAUUUGCUUGACUGGCACAGGGCCAAUCACCUGAGACAUAAAUGUCACAUGACUAUUUACAGGACAAUGCUAACCAACCAAAUCCUGAGCCCUGGACAGAUAAUUCACCCUGAAUGAAAUCCACGAGAGAUGGAUACCGACUCACCCUCAGAUCGAUAACUCUGUUGUCCAGUCUAGUGUCCUGAUUGACAGUGGCUCUUCCCUCCUGAAAGAAAAACAGAAAAGGUCACGAUUACUCACAAAAUAAUUCUGUUGAUAGCUAACAAAUAAAUCGGAUUGGUCCAAAAUGUCAUGUCAUUCCAAACCUACAAUAAAUUAUUCGAUCAUGGCUUAAUAUGUUUUUUGUUUUCUGCCAGCAAAAGAAAAUAGGGCUGUGCCGAUCACAAAAGUUUACUACAAACUGGAAAUUAUACAGAGACCCCAAAGCCCCUGAGCUCUAAGAGUUCCGUUUCCUUCAUAAAGCCUGUAGUAGCUGAAGACUGAUCAACAGCCUGCUCAUCCUCCGACCGACUGAUAAGACACAAGCGUAAUGAGGCGGCAGAUGCUCUGUCUGACUGACAUCGUGGAAUCACUGCAAAGAACACCUGGAUAGCAACUGCAGCGGGUUUCUUCUUACUAUAUAAACACUGCACCACCAUUAGUUGUCUGACGUCAAGAAAGACUAGCAAAGACAGAAGCCAUGUUCUGCCAUUUCUGUAGUGUGCAAAGUGUAUACUGUGUAAAGUAUGUCAAUUUUCUGCAUGUAUGGUAUGCCUGAUGACAUGAUGCAUUUGCUAUGAGAAAUACACAACAAAUUACAUCGUAUAGAAUACAAUUUAUCAUAAUGUAAUGUUCUCAACGAUGUAGCUUACUACUGUUUAAUGUGAAGUUUAUUUUUAUUUGUAUAGCCCCUUAAAACAACAUGAAUGAAGCUGCUUUAAUGUCUAACCUGACUUGAGGUUAGACCUUGAGGUUGAGUAAAUGAUGACAGAAUUACUAUUUUUUGGGUGAACUAUCCCUUUAAUGCAUACUAUUCUGUGUGUAUACUGUGUAGUAUGGUUUUAUUCCAUUCCUAACAGAAAAAAAAAACCUAAAAUAAUCUCAACUUGUCUAAGAGAACUUUGACGGUAAAUUAUCAUAACAAUGAACUGAGGGAUCGGUUUAACAUUUUAAGCUUUCAUUUGUGGUUUGCUCUUCUCUCGUAACCCACAAGUUUCUCACCUCGUCUCCUUCUCCCUCUGGCCUGACAGCAUCUUCCAGCUGAAGGGGAAGUCGGGCCUCAGACUGGCUGAUCACAAAGAUCUGAGACCAACACACAGAAUAGGGAACAAGAGUUUAGGUUAUUAUUAGAUGCAAAACAAAAGCUGCCGGCUAGCAGAAUGUCCAAGCUGUUUUUUUCCAUACAAUGAAUGUGAAACAGUGAACUCGGUUGUCUCUGGUCCCCUCCACUUUCACUGCAUGAACUAAAGCAGCUCAUAAACAUUCUGCAAAACUGCUCCUUUUUUGUUCCACAUAAGAACCUAAGUCAUACAAGUCUAAAACAAUAUGACGGUCAGGAAAUGAUGGUCAUAUAUCAAUUCUGGAGAGAAUUGACAGCAUGUUACUACAGUUGAAUUGUACCUGCAAACAGGUUUGGUACCAUUCAUUGGUUAAAGUACAUAUAAGACCAAAACAAAUUCCACUGGCUUCUUGUGGGGAUAGAUAUAAAGCCCCUAAUGCUCUCUCAGUCAAAUAAAAGAGAUGAAUCUCAGAUCUCCACCCUCUCCACAUGAAGCUCCACAUCCUGCUGGGAACAGCUCUCGAUCUUCUGCUCCACCUUCUUCACCACGGCCUCCACGUCAAUGAUGCUCUCCUUCGUGAGGCUGUAAACAGAAAAAUACAGCAUGAGGAUGAGGGAAGAAACACUUCUUAUUAUCAAUAUUGAAAACUGUUGUUUAUCAUGUGUUAACCAUGAUACAUAUUUCAGGAUUCCUUUGAUGAAUAUUAAACAUUCCAAAAAAUUCCAAACAACAGCCUUUAUUUGAAUCCGAUUAUUUAGUAACAAUGUCAAAGUCUUUACUGCCAUUUUUGGCCAAUUUAAUGUGUCCUUGCUUGUGCAUCCAAAAUAAAAGUUUUUGUUUACAUAA